UUAAGAGAGUCGGGGGACUUCUGGGAGCCGAGUUCCACCUGGCCUCCCCUUCUGCUGGAGGCGAUUCUCUGAAGAGGGCCCGAGGAUGCGGCCAGUGAAAAAGCUGGCUCUUUCCUGGACUUCCUGAAGAGGCCGGCCCAAGGCGAGCCGUCCCCAGGCCCCGGCUCUGCCGAGGCCAGCUAAGGAGCGCCUCCCCCAGGCCUGCUUUUGAGCCGGGCCACGAGGAAAUUCCUCAGUGUUUACGCGGGCUUGCCUGCUCCUCCCUCUGAUGUCUUCCUUCACUCUUUCUGCGUUUUGUGAUGAAAUUGAAAGGCAGAAGAGAGAGAAGACACGGGCCAAAAGCAGGCUGGCGGUUACUUCUCAUAGCUGGGAAUGGGAAUGGCACGACCUCACCCACCCAGGAAGCAGGCAGCAGAAUGGACCAGUGCCAGAGCCUUACACUGUGCCCACCAUGGCAGACACCCCCAGAGGAAAGGCAGGGGCGGCAGCCGCAUCGACUGCGCUUCAUCUUACGUCACAAAAGCAAGGGAGCCACAUACAAAGCUGGAGCAAAAGCAAAUCUCGUGAAAAGAGAGAAGGAAGGAAACGACAUCCUGAUGAAAGGGACCACAGACCGCGACGUCACGUCAGUACUAAACCUUCGACUUUCCCCUCUCGGGACUAGACGAAGCUAGCCAAAAAGUAAACCAGAAAGAAGCUAAGGAAGAGAACGGAAUGUUGGAAAAGUGAGGUAGAUAGAGCCCGGGAGGAAAGUGAAUGGGAAUAGAAAGGACUAUACCUGUUUCUCAGUAGUAGAUGGCACCUCUACAAAAUCCGACGCUGUAUUAGGGCUCAAAAACCUCACAGCCAAAUGCAGAAAAGCAGAAAUAAAAUGCACCCUUUUCAGAGUAUAAAGCAGUAAGAAUUACAUUUAAUAAAAGGUCAUGGAAAGACA